GUGCCAGCCGCCGCGGCGGUAAUACGGAGGGUGCAAGCGUUAAUCGGAAUUACUGGGCGUAAAGCGCGUGUAGGCGGCUUGGUAAGUCAGGUGUGAAAGCCCUGGGCUCAACCCAGGAAGUGCACUUGAAACUGCCUUGCUUGAGUACGGGGGAGGAAAGCGGAAUUCCUGGUGUAGAGGUGAAAUUCGUAGAUAUCAGGAGGAACACCGGUGGCGAAGGCGGCUUUCUGGCCCAAUACUGACGCUGAGACGCGAAAGCGUGGGGAGCAAACAGGAUUAGAUACCCUGGUAGUCCACGCCG
rnacentral:rRNA from 1 species